AGAGUUCACUGUUUUAUGUUCGUCAUACAUAAAAUCAAAAAGGCCUUGUGUGAAUUUUAUUUUUCCUAAAGUUAGGUUAAUAAAUACCCAAUAGACGUUUAAAAUUUAGAUUAAUAAAAUUUGUCAUAAAGCAUUGCAUUCUAAUUUUAUUUUGUAUUUUGUGCAAAUAUGAAGGUAUCAUCAAUAUGAAGGUUAAAAUCAGAAGCUGGACCGGUGUAGCUACUUGGAGAUGGGUGGCCAAUGAUGAUACCUGCGGUAUUUGCCGUUUAUCGUUCGACGGAUGUUGUCCCGAUUGCAAACUUCCCGGAGAUGACUGUCCUUUAGUUUGGGGUCAAUGCUCUCAUUGUUUCCAUAUUCAUUGCAUCAUGAAGUGGCUGAAUUCUCAACAGGUGCAUCAUCAAUGUCCUAUGUGCAGACAGGAAUGGAAGUUCAAGGAAUAAUUUGUUCAUACUCUGCUGUUUCUUAAAAUAUUAAAGCAUCAGCGGCCGCCUAUAGACGCUUCAUCACAAUGGCCUCCCUGCAAGGCCUGCCCCCCCUGCCCAAGAGCCUCAGUGGUGCCAACCUGCUGGAGCACAGCGGCCUACCCGAACAGCUCAGACUGCACCACCCCACUGUGCCGCCUCCGCCGCCUCCAAUCACCUCGCACCCGGAGGCGGCACCUUCGUCCUCCUCCGCCUCCAAGCGGAUGCCACCUCCGCCGCCUCCACCGCCGCCUCGCAAACUCACCACGCUCGACACGCAGCUGGCUAUCCUUAGGAAAGAGAUGUACAGUCUUCGAGAGCUCGACCUGAACCUGUUGUCACAACUGUGGUCGCUGAACGAGAGCAUCCAGGAGUUCCGACAGAUCCAGGAGGCACUGUCACCCCCCUCCCCCUCCUCCGACUGCGAGGAUGACAUCCUCUACUCCAACCUGGCCGCCUUGCCCGAGCAUCACACUCUGUCGAGCUCGUCGUCGAGGUCUAGCUCGGACUACCGCGAUGUUUGAUCGGGUCAUGAUCUAAUACUAUAAUGAGAUUCACGUUGUCUGUCAUUUUAGCAUUGAAUGAUUUAUUUCAUCCAGAAAACACCUAAAAUACACCAGGCUUUGUCAGAACAACCUAUGUCAGUGCUAGUGUAUUUUAUGAGUUUUCUGGCUGAAAUAAAAUUUAAACUUUCAUCCAGCAUUAAUGCAUCAACAAUGUUAAACAAUUAAAUAUUAUUCAAUUAUUUUAUUGCAUUCAGAAAACACAUAAAAUAUACCAGCCUUUGCUAGUACAUAGUAUAUUUGAGUGGUAGUUUAUUUUAUGUUUUUUCUGGCUGGCUAGUUUUCUAGCAAACUAGUGUACUAGUUAAACUAGUAAUGGCUUUGCUAUUUAAUAUAGAUGACUGUGCUGAUUGAGUACAGUCCUAUCAAAAAUGUGUGGAAAAAGGAAACGUGACAAGUAUGCUCUCCUAUCAAAUCCAUUGACAUUCUAAUGUGAAUCUCACUAUAGUAAACAGUGGCGCGAUCUGUGUGCUGUUCUAGUGAACUAGUUAAUACCAGGCGGCAAAGACUUGAUUAAUCUCGGCGCAAUUCUAGUGAACUAUUAACGGGCGACAAAGACUUGAUUACCAUAGUAUUAUAGGGACUUGUGAUUGGGAAUGUAACUAAUACAAAAAUUCAUCAAUGAUCAAAUGAAUUCUCCAUUUGACGUUUAGAACAUUUUGUAAUUUGAGAUUUGUGACGUUUAAAAAAAGUGUAGUAUAAUGGUUUUAAAUAUAUCAAUAGUUAUUCAAAUAAUUUAUCGAAUUGAUGUUAAGAAAUUUUGUAAUUAAAGUGUUUAUAAAUAAAGCAAUAAUUAUUUCACGGAGUUCUCUAUUUGUAUUUUUAAUUUUUUUAUUAAAAAUGUAUUGGAAAGUUCUAAUUGGGAAGGUCUACAUCAAUAAUUGAAAUAAUACGAAUAAUCAUCUCAUAUUUUGUUUAACAGUAUCGGAACCAUACAGUUACUUAUUCAAAAUUUUAAAAAAUGUAAAUUCAAAAACUCGUCCCCAUUUUCGGCUAGUGAACCAAUAUGACAACGUUAGUAGACGUUGUAUAAUUCGACUAUACGUCACCGUAUGAUUUUCAAGAAUGCGAUAUUCUGCCUACUCUGUACUACAGCCUAAGUCACGGCUGCAGUUCCCCCACUACAAUUGGUAUGUCAACUUAAAUACUAUAGAUGAGUGACCAAUCUUCUGUCUGCUAGCUUUGCCAAUAUGAUACUUGAGAUAUCAUGUGAAAGAAUUUUACAAUAGUAAAGUUAUCAAUCAUGUCACAGUACAAAGGAAUCUUCAAACUGAAUAAUAUAAAAUAUUGUACCGCAUAAAGUGUGGUUCAAUAAUGAUAAACAAUAAAAUUAUUAAAAUUCCAUGAAACUGACUGGUUUCUGGAAAAUUAACGUUAUAUUAAAAUAUAACGUUAAGAUUGUCAAAUUCCAAACAAGCAGUGACAAAGUAUGUAAUUGUAUUGGUCAACAAUAAUUCAGAUGAAUUUUUAAUUUUAAAUUGUAAAAUAUGUGUAAACUUGUAAGAAUAUCAAUAGAUUAAAAAUUAUGUUUGGAAUGAAAGUUAACAUUUGAAAAGUGAGAGAGUGAAUAGUAUGAGUGUGAUGGGAUAGUAGAGUAAUUAAUCAAGUAACAAUGAUUUAAUUAAAUUUCAAUGACUAAUUGUUUUGAGUGGGGUACCGUACCAUAAUAACUUAGCGUAGGUUUUGGUUCAUGCAUUCAGUGAUAUUUCUGAUUGAACUUGUUAAAUUUCCGUUACAUUCUAAUCGUUGUUUGAGAGGAACAAGUCGAUUAAGUACAGUUCAAAUGUUUCAAUUAAUUAUAAUAUUUCUUGAUAAGCUGGAUCUGAUAUAAGGGCAUCCCCGAUUUUUUGAUAAAAAAUCCUUCAUUGGUAGUUAAGUCUUCACAAGUAAAUUCAUAAUAUAUUAAAUAACUACUUUCAUACUUGUGAUGACUUUUGAAGAAGAAUUUUAUUGUUUUUUAAUAGUAAUUUUGUAAAUUCAAAAAUUUGUUUCAUUUCGAUUACUGUUUCAUACUUUACAGUAAUAUCAGAUAUAUCUUUAUAUCCCAUAUUUUACAGUAAAAUCAGAUUUAUUUUCCUUUCGCUUCUAUGAACAGAUAUGUCUCUCUUAUUUACUUAUCUCAGUUUUCAUGUCACAAUUCUACUAGAGAAAAUACAAAUCCUGUUGCAUUACCCGCCCAUUUAACACUCAAACUUGAAUUUAUGCAGUUUAACUAAGGUUUAAGAAGUAAAAUUUGCACUAAUACUCUCACAUAUUUCACUAAAAGCAACUACAAAAGGAAUAAAUUAAAAUGUGAAAAAUAUAUUAUGAACUUUCCAAUGAAAUUGAAUCAAUGAGUUUCAAUUUCAUUGGAAAGUUCUUUAUAUAUUUUUUCUCCUUGUAUUUUGGAAAAUACUUUUCUAUUAUAAUAAAUACUAAUGGGGACACAAGUGAUGUACUUAACGUGUCUCCAACUAAGCCUCAUUGAAUUUUAUGAAUCUUGAUAAAUUGUAUUUCUAUAAGUAAUCUAAAUUUUGGUCAGAUAUCGUGGUAAAUUUGUGUGUUUGAAUUUUCUGAUAUGCAUUGUGAUUGUGAUAAAUUAAUUGAUAAUUAUUGUCAAAUUCAUGACUUUAAUCUUAAACUUGUUGUGAUCAUCUAGCAAGCAUUUUUUGAAUUCACUCUGAUUUAUAAUGAAUAUUGUUGCGUUCUACUCAUUGUAUUAAAAUAAUAAGUUGUCUCUU
rnacentral:misc_RNA from 1 species